CCCUGCCUUGGACUAGAUGAAUUCCAGAGGUCCCUUCCAACCCUAACAAUUCUAUGAUUCUGUGAGAUGGGACUGUGCUGGCGCAGGGCAGUGUGGCUGUGCACUGUGAUUGUCGGGGCUCCUCUGCAGGAGCGCCCAGCUCAUGGGGGAUAUCUCCUGCCUGUUGAAACUCCUGAUCCAGCCCUUCAGGCAGUGGAAAGAUCCGAGGCUUAUUUUACUGUUUGAAGCCCACCCCCCUCUCCUCCCCGCCAUGUUUGGGAUGGAAGAACUCCUGAUGGAUGUUUGGGAUGGAAGAGUCAUGUCUGCAGAGCUGCUUAUCCCCAAAGGGCACCCAUCCUAUGGAGACCAGGGUGAGGGUGUGCUGCCUGCAGCACGUCACAGACACCCUACAACCCAGUGAUGAGCACUCACUGCUGUGCCAGGCACCCCUCUGCCCUCACAAGUUCCUCUCUCUCUCCUCACCUGCAUCUUUUGAAACUCUGAGGGCUAUCUGCAUGAAGUCAGUUUUUAACUGCUCUGAUACAAACCCACUGCAAGUGAGCUGUCCAAGUCUGUCUGCUUGGUGGAAAACAGAACUGUUCUCAUCUGACUAGUGUUUGUGGGAAGGAACGCUGAAGGCUACAUGAAGUGACUGCAUUCAGAGGAGGUGAGACAUGCAAGAGGAGGAGAUAACUUGGAAAAGUAGACUUGGAACAGACAAAAGGAAUCCUGGCAGAGAACUGGGGGGACAUGAAGUAUGUGAAGACUGGGGUGGAAAUCAAAAGAUGAGGAGGACACUGAAGCACAGCAAAGAAUGAAGGCAACUGGGAAGUAGCAUAUGGGGAAAGGAUGUGAAGGAACUCAUUUUAGCCUCUCUUUGCACAUUAUUCUGAGCUCACUUAAGAACACUUGAGCUCACUCAG